rnacentral:rRNA from 1 species
GUAGGUGGCAAGCGUUGUCCGGAAUUAUUGGGCGUAAAGCGCGCGCAGGUGGUUCUUUAAGUCUGAUGUGAAAGCCCCCGGCUCAACCGGGGAGGGUCAUUGGAAACUGGGGAACUUGAGUGCAGGAGAGGAAAGUGGAAUUCCACGUGUAGCGGUGAAAUGCGUAGAUAUGUGGAGGAACACCAGUGGCGAAGGCGACUUUCUGGCCUGUAGCUGACACUGAGGCGCGAAAGCGUGGGGAGCAAACAGGGAUUAGAUACCCUGGUAGUCCACGCCGUAAACGAUGAGUGCUAAGUGUUGGGGGGGUUUCCGCCCCCUCAGUGCUGCAGCUAACGCAUUAAGCACUCCGCCUGGGAGUACGGUCGCAAGACUG